rnacentral:rRNA from 1 species
GAUGAACGCUGGCGGCGUGCCUAAUACAUGCAAGUCGAGCGAACGGACGAGAAGCUUGCUUCUCUGAUGUUAGCGGCGGACGGGUGAGUAACACGUGGAUAACCUACCUAUAAGACUGGGAUAACUUCGGGAAACCGUAGCUAAUACCGGAUAAUAUUUUGAACCGCAUGGUUCAAAAGUGAAAGACGGUCUUGCUGUCACUUAUAGAUGGAUCCGCGUUGCAUUAGCUAGUUGGUAAGGUAACGGCUUACCAAGGCAACGAUGCAUAGCCGACCUGAGAGGGUGAUCGGCCACACUGGAACUGAGACACGGUCCAGAGUCCUACGGGAGGCAGCAGUAGGGAAUCUUCCGCAAUGGGCGAAAGCCUGACGGAGCAACGCCGCGUCAGUGAUGAAGGUCUUCGGAUCGUAAAACUCUGUUAUUAGGGAAGAACAUAUGUGUAAGUAGCUGUGCACAUCUUGACGGUACCUAAUCAGAAAGCCACGGCUAACUACGUG